GGAGAAGAAGAAGCUGAUAAAGCCAAGUAGGUGUAGUUUAUACCUUUGUUACUUAUUAGAGCUGUAAUUUCCACAAAUGGAAGUUUGGGUCUAUUCUUGUUGACUGGAUCUGAUUAUACAUUUUUCUUUCACCACCUUUUGAGAUUUGGCUUACCCAAAUCUUGCAUCUUCCGAAUUUGCUUCCUGAUUUAGUAAUAUCGAGUUUUCUUUUUUUUUUAAGGCAUGGAAAAUCUUCUUCUAAA
rnacentral:misc_RNA from 1 species